rnacentral:rRNA from 1 species
GAUGAACGCUGGCGGCGUGCCUAAUACAUGCAAGUCGAGCGAACGGACGAGAAGCUUGCUUCUCUGAUGUUAGCGGCGGACGGGUGAGUAACACGUGGAUAACCUACCUAUAAGACUGGGAUAACUUCGGGAAACCGGAGCUAAUACCGGAUAAUAUUUUGAACCGCAUGGUUCAAAAGUAAAAGACGGUCUUGCUGUCACUUAUAGAUGGAUCCGCGCUGCAUUAGCUAGUUGGUAAGGUAACGGCUUACCAAGGCAACGAUGCAUAGCCGACCUGAGAGGCUGAUAGGCCACCCUGGAACUGAGCCACGGUCCAGACUACUGCGGGACGCAGCAGUAGGGAAUCGUACGCAAUGGGCGAAAGCCUGACGGAGCAACGCCGCGUGAGUGAUGAAGGUCUUCGGAUCGUAAAACUCUGUUAUUAGGGAAGAACAUAUGUGUAAGGAACUGUGCACAUCUUGACGGUACCUAAUCAGAAAGCCACGGCUAACUACGUG